UUGUUUUCACUAUUUAAGUUCACCUCAAUUUCUAAUUUAAGUUCUGUUCAUAGGAGUGCUUGUAAUCAAUUAGUUUGGUUUUACUUAUGUUCCAUGAAUUUCUAGUACCCUGAUAGAUUUGGUAGUGACAUGAUCUCCCUCUCCACCACUCAAGGAUAUACGCUGUCCUAGUCCAGCCCCAUGGCAUACAUUAACUUAGUUGUUAUAGCAAAAAUAGUACAAAACUCUUUUUAUUUUUAUUUUUGAACUUAUGAUGUUACUGUACAUUAACUUGGUUGUUCUUUUCACAUGAACUUGUACAUUGCCUUGUCAGGUUGUGCGUCUACUACUCAAAAGUCUGCAAUAGUUGAACGAAAAUUUAAUUUUUGUUAGUUUGUUGUCAUGGACAGUACAGGUGCACAUUGUUGUGUAGUACAUGUGUCCAUUGAUGUGUUUGAAUCCCUUCCGUUCACUUUGAUUCCUACAGGUGGUUCAAAUGUGUCGAGCGGCAGCAUCGCUUGAUCCCUAGUGGUUGUCCGCGCAAGGAGGAUACAGGGACGCUACAGUGGUGGAGGAGUCAGUACAUGUAGUAGCUAGCUCAAGAAAAGGUAUUGUCCUGUAGCUUUGGUCUUACCUAGUAUGGAUAACAUUUUUAUGGAAAACUUGCUAUUUCCCUGGUGCUCUAACAUGAUGUGUUGGAAUAUCAGCCAGCGGCCUGCUCUGGCCAUGCCGCACCACCACUGGCACAUCCACCAUGGUUGCUGGCAGUCGUCUAAGUUGAGCGCUGAUG
rnacentral:lncRNA from 1 species